rnacentral:rRNA from 1 species
GUCCACGCCGUAACGAUGGAUACUAGCUGUUGGGAGCAAUCUCAGUGGCUAAGCGAAAGUGAUAAGUAUCCCACCUGGGAGUACGUUCGCAAGAAUGAAACUCAAAGGAAUUGACGGGGCCCGCACAAGCGGUGGAGCAUGUGGUUUAAUUCGAUGAUACGCGAGGAACCUUACCAAGGCUUAAAUGUAGUUUGACCGAUUUGGAAACAGAUCUUUCGCAAGACAAAUUACAAGGUGCUGCAUGGUUGUCGU